rnacentral:rRNA from 1 species
UACGGGAGGCAGCAGUGGGGAAUAUUGCACAAUGGACGGAAGGUCUGAUGCAGCAACGCCGCGUGGACGGAUGACACAUUUACGGUGCGUAAACUCCUUUUAUAUGAGAAGAUAAUGACCGUUUCUCG